GCACAAGAAAUCAUCCUUCUUUCUCUGGUUUAAUUCACUCUUGAUCUCCCCGUUCCCCCUCAAGUAACAAUGGCUCCAAAGACUUUCUUUGUCUUUGCUUUGGCCUUGGCCUUCUACUUUGCUUUCAUUCUCAUUCCCUCUGAGGCUGUUCCUGGCGAGGAUGCCGGAACUAACAUAUACCAAGGACGUCGUCUUUUCGGAUUUCCGCGUGUUCGUUUGCCUCCUGGUAUUAAACAUCCGCUACCUCAUAUUAUUCACCCUCCACACUUGAUCGGACAUCAUCCUCCUCCGUGUUGUUGAGGAAGUAAGUUUCAAGUUCAACAGCAACAAACGCAGUAGUAGCAAUAAUAGAAAUAAAUGUUGUUACGUUGUUGUUGGAAAGUUUGUUCUACCACAGGAUCGUGAAGUUGGUAUUUAGUAUUGUUAAGGUGUGUUGUACUACUUACAAUGGUUCCAUCAUAAAUAAAAUGUUCACUAGAGUGCUGCAUGGAUGUGUAAUUAA